rnacentral:rRNA from 1 species
UCAAGUUAUUAAGGGUGCAGGGCGAAUGCCUUGGCACUAGGAGCCGAUGAAGGACGUGAUAAGCUGCGAUAAGCUUCGGGGAGUUGCACGUAAACUUUGAUCCGAAGAUUUCCGAAUGAGGAAACUCACUUAGAGUAAUGUCUAAGUAUCGUUAAGUGAAUACAUAGCUUAGCGAGGGGAACCCGGGGAACUGAAACAUCUAAGUACCCGGAGGAAGAGAAAGAAAUUCGAUUCCGUAAGUAGCGGCGAGCGAACGCGGAACAGGCCAAACCAAUGAAGUUUACUUCGUUGGGGUUGAGGACAUACAACAUGGAUGCAAUAUCGUAAAUGAAGAGAGUUGGAAAGCUCCGCCAUAGAAGGUAAUAGCCCUGUAGUUGAAACGAGAAAGCUACUAGUAUGAUCCAGAGUACCACGGGACACGUGAAACCCUGUGGGAAGCAGGAGGGACCAUCCUCCAAGCCUAAAUACUACCUAGUGACCGAUAGCGCAUAGUACCGUGAGGGAAAGGUGAAAAGAACCCCGGGAGGGGAGUGAAAGAGAACCUGAAACCGUAUGUCUACAAGCAGUCGGAGCGAAAGCGACGGCGUGCCUAUUGAAGAAUGAACCAACGAGUUACGUGCACUAGCGAGGUUAAGUGGAAGACACGGAGCCGAAGCGAAAGCGAGUCUUAAGAGGGCGGAUAGUUAGUGUACGUAGACCCGAAACCGCAGUGAUCUACCCAUGUCCAGGUUGAAGCGCAGGUAAAAUUGCGUGGAGGACCGAACCUGUGAGCGUUGAAAAGCUUUAGGAUGAGAUGUGGGUAGAGGUGAAAUUCCAAUCGAACGCGGAGAUAGCUGGUUCUCCCCGAAAUAGCUUUAGGGCUAGCCUCAAGUAGUAAGUAUAGGCGGUAGAGCACUGAUCGGGCUAGGGGCCAUAAAGGUUACCGAACCCUGUCAAACUCCGAAUGGUUAUACUGUAGAGCUUGGGAGUCAGACUACGAGUGAUAAGAUCCGUGGUCAAAAGGGAAACAGCCCAGACCACCAGCUAAGGUCCCCAAUGUCGUACUAAGUGGAAAAGGAUGUGGGGUCUCUAAAACAACCAGGAUGUUGGCUUAGAAGCAGCCACCAUUUAAAGAGUGCGUAAUAGCUCACUGGUCGAGAGACCCUGCGCCGAAGAUUACCGGGGCUAAAGUACGAAACCGAAGCUGUGGCUACGACAUAUGUCGUGGGGUAGGGGAGCGUUCUGUGAGGGCUGAAGUCGUUCUGUAAGGAACGGUGGACUUCACAGAAGUGAGAAUGUUGGUAUGAGUAGCGAAAAGAAUGGUGAGAAUCCAUUCCACCGAAAGCAUAAGGAUUCCUGGGCAACGAUCGUCGUCCCAGGGUAAGUCGGGACCUAAUCCGAGGCAUGGAGCGUAGGAGAUGGACAACUGGCAGAUAUUCCAGUACCGGUAAUGAUUGUUUGAGCGAUGGAGUGACACAGGAGGGCAGGCAGGCAGGAGAUUGGUUGUUCCUGUACAAGCGUGUAGGAUGGGACGCAGGCAAAUCCGCGUCCUGUGAGUCUGAGGCGUGAUGUGGAGGUUCCGGAAACGGAACUGAAGCUGCUGACCCCACACUGUCGAGAAAAGCUUCUAGUUAGAGAAUUACCGCCCGUACCGUAAACCGACACAGGUAUGCGGGGAGAGAAUCCUAAGGUGCGCGGGAGAACCCUCGUUAAGGAACUCGGCAAAAUGUACCCGUAACUUCGGGAUAAGGGUAGCCGCUGUUGUGAAGUCUGAACAGACGGAGCAUGAGGCGGUCGCAGAGAAGAGGCCCAAGCGACUGUUUACCACAAACACAGGUGCCUGCUAAAGAGAAAUCUGACGUAUAGGUGCUGACACCUGCCCAGUGCCGGAAGGUUAAGGAAGGAUGUCCGGAGCAAUCCAAAGCAUUCGACCGAAGCCCCGGUGAACGGCGGCCGUAACUAUAACGGUCCUAAGGUAGCGAAAUUCCUUGUCGGGUAAG